rnacentral:lncRNA from 1 species
AUGUCCACAAGGUCUGUUGACUGUACCUCAGAGCCCUGUGGAACUCUACUGCUGCUACCACCCUCAUUCAGAUCCCUGUCAUUUUUCCAUGGUCAUCAGUGUACUGGGUGGCUGUUUGUCAACUUGGUAUCAUCCCUAUCUCUUGCCAGGGUAGUUCUGGUUCACGUUCUGCCAAAGAAAAGAAUUUGUUUGGCGCUUGGAAGGGGAAAUAAUAGGAAAAGCCAACAUUCCCUGGUAACAGCUAUGGACAGAAGUGGGAACUGUUGGCAGGCAUGAGGUUGUCACGGCUUCUGGGUAAACUACUGCUUUGGGGGCUGCAGGUGGCUGCGAGUGGACAGUAGCAGCUUCCCUGCUAUUCCUGGAAUGCCUGCAGUUCCUUACCUUCUCGUUCCUCUGGAUUUCCCGAAAGCCCUGCUGAACAUUCUGCCUGUUCUUCAUCCUUCCUACCCUUCCAAAUGUCAUGUAGGUUUCUAAUUCCCUGAAUUAAAUCCCCUCUACUUGAAAUGUCUC